GUUCCCGGGCCUUGUACACACCGCCCGUCACACCAUGGAAGUUGGUCACGCCCGAAGUCGUUACCCCAACCUAUUGGAGGGGGAUGCCUAAGGUAGGACUGAUGACUGGGGUGAAGUCGUAACAAGGUAGCCGUACCGGAAGGUGUGGCUGGAUCACCUCCUUUUAGGGAG
rnacentral:rRNA from 1 species